CUUUUUAUCGUCAACUCCAAAAAAUAAAUUAAAAAAUUGAGAAAAACUCGCUCCUUUCUGAAAUAUCGAAGAAAUUGUUCAUAUCUCUCGCUAGAAGAUCAGCUUGUCCACUCGAUCUUGUAAUCUUGUUCAUCUAUGUCGCUAGAGCAUAGCCAUCAACUCGAUCUCGUUCAUCUCACUCCCUGAUCAGUUUGUCAACUCGUUUCAUCAACUCGACCGUCUCUCCUUACUCGCUCUCUCGUGGGUAUAUUGUUCACAACCUGAGUGGAAAUCGAUAGAACUCAUCACAGACCUAACAUAAGUGGAAAAGAAACCCUUGAUUCAAUUGACGACAUUUCCUUGGUUUGGGGCUUAGAAGUUGACAUAGCAUUGUUCACACAAUCGUCAGUUGCAUAUGCUCAAAUGGGUUUACAAAAACUUCAACUUGAGAUAGUUCAUGGAUUUGGAGGUAGUAGAUUAAACUCAAUUAACUUAUCUUUAUCUUCAAGCCUACUGAUUUUUUUUAGUGUGAAUUUUAAUUGAGUGCAUCGAGAAGAAAUAGAAGAACAAUUGAAAUUAGAUAUUAUCACUUAGUCGUAAUUUAUGCUUUUAGUAAUGUAUAGAUAUCCCCAAAUUUAAGUACUUAUUCGAUUGAGUAUAGUUUCCGAGACUACGGCGUUUCUCUUUUGUUGGAUUGUAUAUGUGUUGUUGAUUUAGUGAGACCUGGGUCAAAACUCUUCAUUGAUGAUGUGUUCUUUCUGUCAAGAUCGUGUUAAGGCUGCAAAAGUUGUUUGGAAGGUGGGCCUUGAGAGGAAAUUUGCACUUAUUCCAUGUUCGUUUGUGCUAUUGUACAUGGGGUAAUUUUUGUUUGGCUCGGGGGCAGAACAAUAAAAGCUUAAAUAAGGGGUUUAAUAAUGCAAAUGUCGUAUUACAGGUCUAAGCCGCUACAAAACAUAGCUAAGCAGCAAGUGUUCAUACUAUGGUUAAUUUUGCAGCUGAUGCGCUUGUAGCCACUUAAAGUACAGUGAUCAUGCUUCCUAUGUGUAAUUUUAGCUGUUCUCAAUGAAUUAUUGCUUCUUUGAUCAUAACUGUGCAUUUUUAUCUGUCAUUUUUGCAGAAAUCUUUAACAUGUUAUAGUUCCAUGAUUGUUCACAAACAAUGAAAUAUACCUUAACAGGUUAAUCAUAAUAACUCCUUAAGUCCAAAGGAUUUAUGAAUGAGGGUAUUUGACACACAUUUCUUAGCACUCAAUGUAAGACUAGUUGGUAGUUUUUUCUAACUCUUAAUCCAUGUUUUUAUGAUAUAAUUUAGACACCUAGUGUCCUAAGUUCUUUUUAUAUUUAUUGUUUUUUUGUGCCUGUGUUCACCAAUUUCUUCUCCUCCGCAUUUGUCUGAAUUUUUGAGUUUUUAGAAUGCAUCCACUGAUGCAUGAUGUUAAGGUUUUUUAGCAAGUAUCCAUUGAAAAUCCCAGUGUACAAUAAUUUGAGUUUUUAGAAUGCAUCCACUCAUGCUUCAUGUUAAGAUUUUUUUAGCAAGUAUCCAUCCAAAAUCCCAUUGUACAAAUUUUAAAGUUGGAUGAAAAGAAUGAUGAAAUUCAGGUGAUAAUACUAUUUAGAAAUUAUAAACAUGUGUUGACAAAGUUCUCAUCUCUUUCUCAUUUUGUUUUUGUUUGAACUUUAGAGGACAUGUGUCCAUAUACUCGGUUGGAAUAACUUACUUUUUAAUUGUAGGUUGUCUCGAAGGAGCUUAAAAUAGAUUUGGACAGAGGCAAGAAAAGGAAAGCCACCUUCAUGCUCUUAAUCAAAGGGCCAGGAUAAAGCUCAGAAUAAUUAUAUAUUUUUUUCAUUUAACUAACAGAGCAGGUGAACUUGAUUUUUCAUUUGAUGUAAGAUGGAUUUAUUGACACAAUUGAAUUUUAACUAUGUUGCUAUAGAUAUACCUUCAAUGGAAGCUUUUAACCACAUUGAA